GGAGAGGGGCGCUGGUUGGUUUAACACAGGACGUGCCCGGGUCGUGCCCUUUUAGCUUCCGCCUGUGUUCCAGGCUGUCACAUAUUCCUGUAGAUAGUGGUUCUUGGUUGUUCUGCUUUUAACUUAAGUCUACAGUCCCUGACUUACAGUGAUUCAAUUUAUAAUUUUGUGCUUUGCAAAAGCAAAAGUUGAGGACAAACUGUACAUGGAAUUUUGAACUUUGAUCAUUUCCUGAGCUGGCGAUAAGUAGUAUGAUACUCUUGUGAUGCUGGGGAGUGACAAUGAAGCUGUCAGCCACACAGUCGGAAAGUUCUGGAGGUUAGAAGUACAAGAUCAAGGGUCUAGCUGAUUUGUGGUUUCCAGUGAUGGCUCCCUUCCUGCCACUCCUCAGCACUAGCUUCACUGCCUCAGCUCCACCUCAGAUCAUCAGGCACUGGAUUAUCAUAAAGAGUAUGUUUUCCCCACAGCCAGUCCCUCCCAUCAGAAGGCAGACAGAAGAACUACAAUCCCAUAGCCUC